rnacentral:rRNA from 1 species
GACGAACGCUUGCGGCGUUCCUAAUACAUGCAAGUCGAACGCACUCUCGUUUAGAUUGAAGGAGUUUGCUCCUGAUUGAUAAACAUUUGAGCGAGUGGCGGACGGGUGAGUAACACGUGGGUAACCUGCCCUAAAGCGGGGGAUAACAUUUGGAAACAGUUGCUAAUACCGCAUAAAACCUAACACCGCAUGGCGUAGGGUUGAAAGAUGGUUUCGGCUAUCACUUUAGGAUGGACAAGCGGUGCAUUAGCUAGUUGGUGAGAUACAGGCUCACCAAGACGGUGAUGCAUAGCCGACCUGAGAGGGUAAUCAGACACACUGAGACUGAAGCACGGCCCAGACUCCUACGGGAGGCAGCAGUAGGGAAUCUUCAACAAUGGACGAAAGUCUGAUGGAGCAACGCCGCGUGAGUGAAGAAGGUUUUAGGAUCGAGAAACUCUGUUGUUGGGAAAGGAUGUAUCAGAUAGUAAAUCAUCAGGAAGUGACGGAAACCAACCAGAAAGCCACGGCUAACUACGUG